AUUGAACGCUGGCGGCAUGCUUUACACAUGCAAGUCGAACGGUAACAGGCCUUCGGGUGCUGACGAGUGGCGAACGGGUGAGUAAUGCAUCGGAACGUGCCCAGAGGCGGGGGAUAACGCAGCGCAAGCUGUGCUAAUACCGCAUGUGAUCUGAGGAUGAAAGCGGGGGACCAGGCAGCAAUGUUUGGCCUCGCGCCUUUGGAGCGGCCGAUGUCAGAUUAGGUAGUUGGUGGGGUAAAGGCCUACCAAGCCGACGAUCUGUAGCUGGUCUGAGAGGACGACCAGCCACACUGGGACUGAGACACGGCCCAGACUCCUACGGGAGGCAGCAGUGGGGAAUUGUGGACAAUGCGCGCACGCCUGAUCCAGCAAUGCCGCGUGCGGUAAGAAGCCCUUCGGGUUGUAAACCGCUUUUGUACGGAACGAAAAGGCUCUGGCUAAUACCUGGGGCUGAUGACUGUACCGUAAGAAUAAGAACCGGCUAACUACG
rnacentral:rRNA from 1 species